rnacentral:rRNA from 11 species
GCGACCGAUAGUGAACCAGUACCGUGAGGGAAAGGUGAAAAGCACCCCGACAAGGGGAGUGAAACAGAUCCUGAAACCGGAUGCCUACAAACAGUUGGAGGGCGCAAGCCUGACAGCGUACCUUUUGUAUAAUGGGUCAGCGACUUAAUUUAACGAGCAAGCUUAAGCCGAUAGGUGUAGGCGUAGCGAAAGCGAGUCUGAACAGGGCGUUUUAGUUCGUUGGAUUAGACCCGAAACCGAGUGAUCUAGCCAUGGCCAGGUUGAAGGUGCGGUAACACGCACUGGAGGACCGAACCCACGCCUGUUGAAAAAGUCGGGGAUGAGCUGUGGCUAGGGGUGAAAGGCCAAUCAAACUCGGAAAUAGCUGGUUCUCCGCGAAAUCUAUUUAGGUAGAGCGUCGGAUGAAUACUCUCGGGGGUAGAGCACUGGAUGGGCUAUGGGGGCUUACCGCCUUACUGAUCCUAACCAAACUCCGAAUACCGAGAAGUACUAUCCGGCAGACACACAGUGGGUGCUAACGUCCAUUGUGGAGAGGGAAACAACCCUGACCGCCAGUUAAGGUCCCUAAGUUAUGGCUAAGUGGGAAAGGAUGUAGGACUCCCAAAACAACCAGGAUGUUGGCUUAGAAGCAGCCAUCAUUUAAAGAAAGCGUAACAGCUCACUGGUCAAGCGCUCCUGCGCGGAAAAUGUAACGGGGCUUAAGUGAUACACCGAAGCUGCGGAUUCGAUCUUUGAUCGAGUGGUAGCGGAGCGUUCCGUAGGCCGAUGAAGGCAGACCCGCGAGGGCUGCUGGAGGUAUCGGAAGUGAGAAUGCUGACAUGAGUAGCGACAAAGAGGGUGAGAGACCCUCUCGCCGAAAGUCCAAGGGUUCCUGCGCAACGCUAAUCGGCGCAGGGUUAGCCGGCCCCUAAGGCGAGGCCGAAAGGCGUAGUCGAUGGGAAUGCAGUUAAUAUUCUGCAGCUUGGUGGUAGUGACGGAUGCAGUGUGUUGUAUCUCCUUAUUGGAUUGGGGGUGCAGCGAAUGUGUUCCAGGAAAUAGCUCCACUUUAUAAACCGUACCCGAAACCGACACAGGUGGACUGGUAGAGAAUACCAAGGCGCUUGAGAGAACUCGGGUGAAGGAACUAGGCAAAAUGGCACCGUAACUUCGGGAGAAGGUGCGCCGGUGAGGGUGAAGGACUUGCUCCGUAAGCUCAUGCCGGUCGAAGAUACCAGGCCGCUGCGACUGUUUAUUAAAAACACAGCACUGUGCAAACA